UAUCUGGUUGGUCAGUGCAUAGCCCCGAUUGGGCUUAGCCAUGAUGGCCACUGCCCAAGAUUGGGUUUAUUUUUGAUUCCCUUCUUAGAAAUGCCCAGAUGCUUGGUCCAUAGAAGUAAAACAAUAACAUCAUAGCUAAUAUUCCUGAGAGCUGACUUAUACAAGAUAAAGUGCUAUGUAUUUUACAUGUGUUUCAUCUCAUUAAUUUUGGAAACAGCCUUAAGAUAGGCAUUACCAUCAGACCCACUUGAGAAAAUGGAGACUCACAAUUUGCCCACGACCCCACAGCAGGCAAGCAGAAGAGCCACUUCAGACAUUUCACUGAUCUUCUAGUUUGUACGACAGGACUUCUGAUUCUCUUUUCACUUCCCCACGUACAUUUGCCUGACAGGGGGCUUUCCGACGCAGAAGACAAUGGGAGAUUCGUGUUCACUAACACUUUCCCGUAAUAACAUUCAGGAAAGAAAUAAUAGGUUACUGGCCGGAAGAUGCAUUUCUGUACAUCGUGAGGGAGGGAUGGUUCCUAAGUUCAUUUUAUCUUAUUCUAGACCGGGAGCUCCAGGAAGGAGACAAGAACCAAGCCUCCAUCCAGCUGAGGAUGACUCAUUCCUGGGGCAGAUAACGCAUUUCUGAGGCCCAGAACUUCACUACAUCAAAUCUUUUGAAACCCUGUUUAUUGGUGUUCUUAAAGACAAGAACAUGACGAGCUUUCGUAAUCCUUCACCUCAAGGUUGAGUGAUAGAAUACUAGAGAUGUUUUGGAGCUUCUUUGCUUACUGCAAAGCAUCCAAAGAGGAAUGGGUGGGCGGAUAAUAAAAAUAACAAUACUAACAUUAGCUGCAAGUACUGAGCGCUUAAUAAAUGGUAGUGAAUGUUG